rnacentral:rRNA from 1 species
AGAGUUUGAUCCUGGCUCAGGAUGAACGCUGGCGGCGUGCUUAACACAUGCAAGUCGAGCGAAGCAGUUAAGUUGAUUUCUUCGGAUUGAUUCUUAACUGACUGAGCGGCGGACGGGUGAGUAACGCGUGGGUGACCUGCCCCAUACCGGGGGAUAACAGCUGGAAACGGCUGCUAAUACCGCAUAAGCGCACAGAGCUGCAUGGCUCGGUGUGAAAAACUCCGGUGGUAUGGGAUGGGCCCGCGUCUGAUUAGGCAGUUGGCGGGGUAACGGCCCACCAAACCGACGAUCAGUAGCCGGCCUGAGAGGGCGACCGGCCACAUUGGGACUGAGACACGGCCCAAACUCCUACGGGAGGCAGCAGUGGGGAAUAUUGCACAAUGGGGGAAACCCUGAUGCAGCGACGCCGCGUGAGCGAAGAAGUAUUUCGGUAUGUAAACUUCUAUCAGCAGGGAAGAAAAUGACGGUACCUGACUAAGAAGCCCCGGCUAACUACGUGCCAGCAGCCGCGGUAAUACGUAGGGGGCAAGCGUUAUCCGGAAUUACUGGGUGUAAAGGGUGCGUAGGUGGUAUGGCAAGUCAAAAGUGAAAAACCCAGGGCUUAACUCUGGGACUGCUUUUGAAACUGUCAGACUGGAGUGCAGGAGAGGUAAGCGGAAUUCCUAGUGUAGCGGUGAAAUGCGUAGAUAUUAGGAGGAACACCAGUGGCGAAGGCGGCUUACUGGACGAUAACUGACGCUGAGGCUCGAAAGUGUGGGUAGCAAACAGGAUUAGAUACCCUGGUAGUCCACACCGUAAACGAUGAUUACUAGGUGUUGGAGGAUUGACCCCUUCAGUGCCGCAGUUAACACAAUAAGUAAUCCACCUGGGGAGUACGACCGCAAGGUUGAAACUCAAAGGAAUUGACGGGGGCCCGCACAAGCAGUGGAGUAUGUGGUUUAAUUCGACGCAACGCGAAGAACCUUACCAAGUCUUGACAUCCUGCGACGGACAUAGAAAUAUGUUUUUCCUUCGGGACGCAGAGACAGGUGGUGCAUGGUUGUCGUCAGCUCGUGUCGUGAGAUGUUGGGUUAAGUCCCGCAACGAGCGCAACCCUUAUGGUCAGUUACUACGCAAGAGGACUCUGGCCAGACUGCCGUUGACAAAACGGAGGAAGGUGGGGAUGACGUCAAAUCAUCAUGCCCUUUAUGACUUGGGCUACACACGUACUACAAUGGCGUUAAACAAAGAGAAGCAAGACCGCGAGGUGGAGCAAAACUCAGAAACAACGUCCCAGUUCGGACUGCAGGCUGCAACUCGCCUGCACGAAGUCGGAAUUGCUAGUAAUCGCAGAUCAGCAUGCUGCGGUGAAUACGUUCCCGGGCCUUGUACUCACCGCCCGUCA